rnacentral:rRNA from 1 species
GCGACCCCAGGUCAGGCGGGACUACCCGCUGARUUUAAGCAUAUCAAUAAGCGGRGGAAAAG